UACAUAUUUGUGAUACAGGGAGGAGCCGC
rnacentral:piRNA from 1 species